rnacentral:rRNA from 1 species
AGGAAUAUUGGUCAAUGGGCGCAAGCCUGAACCAGCCAUCCCGCGUGCAGGAAGACGGCGCUAUGCGUUGUAAACUGCUUUUCCAGGGGGAGAAACUUGCGUACGUGAUACGCAAUUGACGGUACCCUGGGAAUAAGCAUCGGCUAACUCCGUGCCAGCAGCCGCGGUAACACGGAGGAUGCAAGCGUUAUCCGGAUCCAUUGGGUUUAAAGGGUGCGUAGGCGGACUAUUAAGUCAGUGGUGAAAUCCUGCAGCUUAACUGCAGAACUGCCAUUGAUACUGAUAGCCUUGAGUUUGGUUAAGGUAGGCGGAAUGUGUAAUGUAGCGGUGAAAUGCUUAGAUAUUACACAGAACACCAAUUGCGUAGGCAGCUUACUGAGCCGACACUGACGCUGAGGCACGAAAGCGUGGGGAUCGA